GGGAAAAUAGGUGGAAAUUCAAAAAUCAAGUGAAAAAAGAUUAUGGAUAGGCGGUGAGUCAAUUGUUUCGGGUAAGAGACUGCACCCGAGGGCGGAAGAUAGGAGUAUUUCUACUCCUAAUACUAGGGGGUUCCGUGGACCAGCCUAUUAGAGGGGCAAGG